rnacentral:rRNA from 1 species
UACGUAGGGUGCGAGCGUUAAUCGGAAUUACUGGGCGUAAAGCGUGCGCAGGCGGUUGUGCAAGACAGAGGUGAAAUCCCCGAGCUUAACUUGGGAACUGCCUUUGUGACUGCAUGGCUAGAGUGUGUCAGAGGGGGGUAGAAUUCCACGUGUAGCAGUGAAAUGCGUAGAGAUGUGGAGGAAUACCGAUGGCGAAGGCAGCCCCCCUGGGAUAACACUGACGCUCAUGCACGAAAGCGUGGGGAGCAAACAGG